GUCUGCCUCUCUCUCUCUUUCCCUCUCUCUCACUUUUUCUCUUUCUAUCUCUAUUCCUCUCUCCAUGCUGUCAGAUCACUCAGUGGUGAUUUCCAUAUCAAUAUUUGAGUGACGCUAAAUUAUUUAGAGCCGUGCAGUGACACAACAGGGCGCAAGGCUGAGUGGCGCCUCUGCAUCAUCUGACAUCCUAAUGUGUGUGUGUGUGUGUGUGUGUGUGUGUGUGUGUGUGUGUAUGUGUGUGUGUGUGUGUGUGUCAGUCUCUGUGGACUUGUUUGUCAUUGGCUCAUCUCUCUCAUCUCUCUUAUUCCAUUCUGCCUUGGUCAAACAUCCACCACUUCUAUCAUAAGUCUCAUGUUCAUUAUUCACAAGCGUUUCCAUCAAGAGAGAUGUAUAAUGUGAAAUCGAAACCAGUCUGCACACUAGUACAUUUGUUUUCUGUAUGCGUGCAUGUAGUGUUUGUGUGGAUGCUUGCUAUGGCCCACUGUCUGAGUUUGUGGUUAUUUUCAGGAGAUUGCUGAGUUUUCAUAUGACUAAUGAUGUGUCUCAGUGCUGCAAGUUUCUGCAGUAACCAGUAUUAUACACAGAGUCGAGUAUCAGUCAGAACGGACAGAGAGGAAGAGUGAUGGAGUGAAACGGGGUCUAUUUUUCUGGCUGUUAAAGCUUAGUGGCUCGAGUGCCUGGACCCUCUACCAUUUCUUUCUUGCCGAGCUCCACUUAACCCUGCUGACCUUGCUUCUGUCUCCAAAACUGAUUGGUUGCCAGUCACCUUGGCAACCUGGGACUGCUCAGCUCUUACUGGCUGGGUGCCAUUUGUGCCCAUCUAUUCACACAGCAAUGCCACGUACAUUUGGGAGUCUCCUGCUGAGCUCUCUGAAACGGAUCGUUACGUGCACCAAACUGUAGUGUGUUUACAAGCAAAAAAGUUUGCAUGACCAAACACUCUUGCUUUUUCAGCCAUCCGUCAUUCUCUUUCUCCUCCUCCUCCUCCUCCGCCUCCUCUCCCUUUUUUUCAUCUGUACCCGACUCUGUAGGCAGCGUGCGUGUUACCAUUUGAUUGCCUUGUUUAUUGCAGCACCAACUUCCUCCUUUCAGACAUCUCCUAUCACCCUCCCCACUCCCCUCAGAGAGAAAGAGAAAAAAAAAAGAGCAAGAAAGAGAUCCCAGUCUAAUCCUGUUUGUCUUACAGGAGUCGGGUUCUUAGCCUUGACAUAAAUCUCAAUGAGAUUGGAUUAAGCUGGGGGUGGAUGCAGAUCUUUCAUUGGGACAGGAAGCCAAAAUUGUUAGCCUUAUACAAUUCUGGAGAUCUGCUAUAGUUGAGUUCAGUUUUACUUCAUCAACAAAUUUGAUUAAUAACUACUAUAUUAAAACUCAGUUAGUCUUAUUAACAUAAAAUAUAGUUAAUAUAGCUAAUACAACUCAGUUACAUCUCACGCUGAUGGUACUGUUCCUGUAACAGCACUCAUAGUACCAAGGUGUUUUUUUUUUUUCUUUUACACCACAAGUGAUAUGCCAAAGAACAUAUCAUGCUUUUUAACAAUUAUAGGUGGAAUGAAAAUAUAGCAGGUAUGAAAUUUGUUCUCUCACCAGCAUCCCAUUAUAUCUCCCACUUGAAUUUAAUUUCACACACACACACACACACACACACACACACACACACACACACACACACACACACACACACACACACACACACACACACACACACACACACAUACACACACACUCACACUCACACACAUACACACUUGAAGAAAAGGUCCUCAGUCUUGACAGAAAACAACAAAGAGUGGACACCCGAGACUCCUUUUAAAAUGACUUUUAUUAAAUAAGCCAUUUUCAGCAAGCUUCACAAUAUAGUUAUACUUUCUUCUUAAAUAUCAACAUGUUUUAAAAUCUUAUAUACUUUAAAAUUAUACUUAUAUAAUUUAAAAUUAUAUACGUCUCUGUUAAACUGUUACUAAAGAUAUAAACAAAUUCAAAAGAGUAUAUUUCAAUAAAAUUUUUAACAUAUAAAACUUUCAUUUCACUUUCAUCUGCCAAUACUUACGUAAAUGAAUCUGUCUAAUCAGCUCAACAAUUUUAAGCUAUAAAUGGCAAUAAACAGUGAUGGAAAGCAACAAAAGGCAAUUUAAAAAAAUGCUUUUUUUUCUUUACAACUCCAAAAGACUGUAGGUCAAUCAAUAUCAAGACCCAAUCAAAAUAAAGAGGUUUUCUGCCAAAUGUCUACACUUCAGGCACCAAAUGCUUAGUCAGCAGCAGCAGAAAUGACUGAGACAGUUUUAUAAGCUUGAAAGGAAACAGCAUGAUAAGGAUCUGUAAAUUCUGCCAAAUAAGAGAGAUAUCAGUAUUACACAGUUCAACAUUCAACAUGCAAAAAAACACACACGUAAGUCAUUAGCUAGCUGACGGAGCUAGACAAGCUAGCCAGAUCUUUAGCUUUGUAUUUAACUGAUGUCUGGUAGAAAUUUUGGUGGGAAAUAUACCUAAGGGCUUCUAUAGC